rnacentral:rRNA from 1 species
CCUCGAUGUCGGCUCAUCGCAUCCUGGGGCUGAAGAAGGUCCCAAGGGUUUGGCUGUUCGCCAAUUAAAGCGGUACGCGAGCUGGGUUCAAAACGUCGUGAGACAGUUUGGUCCUUAUCCUCUGUGGGCGCAGGAAAUUUGCGGAGAGCAUUCCUUAGUACGAGAGGACCAGGAAUGACGUACCUCUGGUGUACCAGUUGUUCCGCCGGGAGCAUCGCUGGGUAGCCACGUACGGAAAGGAUAAGCGCUGAAAGCAUCUAAGCGCCAAGCCCCCUCCAAGAUAAGAUUUCCCUCCCCGAUUCCCCGCAAGGGGCCUCGGGGCUGAAGGCACCCCGUAGACUACGGGGUUGAUAGGCCGGAGGUGUAAGUCCCGUAAGGGAUUGAGCUAACCGGUACUAAUCUGCCGUGCGACUUAGACCU